rnacentral:tRNA from 1 species
AGUAAGGUGGCAGAAAAGUGCCUCAGAUUUAAGCUCUGACUAUGAAGAUUACUUCCCCUACUA